rnacentral:rRNA from 1 species
CCUACGGGUGGCAGCAGUAGGGAAUAUUGCUCAAUGGGGGAAACCCUGAAGCCGCAACGCCGCGUGGAGGAUGAAGGUUUUAGGAUUGUAAACUCCUUUUGUGAGAGAAGAUAAUGACGCUAUCUCACGAAUAAUCCCCGGCUAACUCCGUGCAAGCCGCCGCGGUAAUACGGAGGGUGCAAGCGUUACUCGGAAUCACUGGGCGUAAAGAGUGCGCAGGCGGGAUAGUAAGUCAGAUGUGAAAUCCUAUAGCUUAACUACAGAACUGCAUUUGAAACUGUGAGUCUAGAGUAUGGGAGGGGUAGGUGGAAGUCGUGGUGGAGGGGUAAAAUCCGUAGAGAUCAAGAGGAAUACUCAUUGCGAAGGCGGCCUGCUGGAACGUGACUGACGCUGAUGCGCGAAAGCGUGGGGAGCAAACAGGAUUAGAUACCCGUGUAGUC